rnacentral:rRNA from 1 species
AUUGAACGCUGGCAGCAUGCCUUACACAUGCAAGUCGAACGGUAACGGGCCUUCGGGUGCCGACGAGUGGCGAACGGGUGAGUAAUGUAUCGGAACGUACCUUUCAGUGGGGGAUAACGUAGCGAAAGUUACGCUAAUACCGCAUAUUCUGUGAGCAGGAAAGCAGGGGAUCGCAAGACCUUGCGCUGAUUGAGCGGCCGAUAUCAGAUUAGCUAGUUGGUGAGGUAAAGGCUCACCAAGGCGACGAUCUGUAGCGGGUCUGAGAGGAUGAUCGGCCACACUGAGACGGAGACACGGUCCAGACUCCUACGGGAGGCAGCAGUGGGGAAUUUUGGACAAUGGGGGCAACCCUGAGCCAGCCAUGCCGCGUGAGUGAAGAAGGCCUUCGGGUUAUAAAGCUCUUUCGGCCGGGAAGAAAUCGUAUCAGCUAAUACCUGGUGCGGAUGACGGUACCGGCAUAAGAAGCACCGGCUAACUACGUGCCAGCCGCCGCAGUAAUAC